AGUUGAGCGUCGAUAAAGAGUAGUAAACGGAACAGAUGCCGCAGAGAGCUGAUGGUUGGUGUGAAUCAGUGCAUAUGGCCGUUGAAUGGACUUUGGAGCUUCCCGGAAUGGGCGGAUUUCCCACCGAUAAAAGGGAGUCCGACGGUAGAUGGUCACCGUUGGCCGAUAAGCGCAUGCUUGAUGCAUGAAUGAAGGUGGCACCACGGGUCUCCCGUCCUUUUC
rfam:Bacillus marisflavi strain JCM 11544 scaffold1, whole genome shotgun sequence.